GACGAACGCUGGCGGCGUGCCUAAUACAUGCAAGUCGAGCGAACAGAUGAGGAGCUUGUUCCUCUGACGUUAGCGGCGGACGGGUGAGUAACACGUGGAGAAUCUACCUAUAAGACUGGGAUAACUUCGGGAAACGGGAGCUAAUACCGGAUAAUAUCUUGAACCACAUGGUUCAAUAGUGAAAGACGGUAUUGCUGUCAUUAAUAGAUGGAUCCCCGCCGCAUUAGCUAGUUGGUAAGGUAACGGCUUACAAGGGGAACGAUGCGUAGCCGACCUACGGGGGUGAUCGCCGACACUGGAAUUGGAAAAGGGCCAAGACUCCUACGGGAGGCGCCAGAAGGAAAUCUUAGGCAAUGGGCGAAAGCCUGACGGAGAAACGCGACGUGGGGGAUAAAGUUCUUGGGAUCGUAAAACUCUGUUAUUAGGGAAAAACAAAUGUGGAAGGAAAUAUGCACGUAUUGACGGUAACUAAUCAGAAAGCCACGGCUAACUACGUG
rnacentral:rRNA from 1 species